GAUUCCUCUUGCCUAUGAGUGAUGUCUCCGUCAUCCCUAGAUUUGGAGAUUGGUUGAUGUAGAAACAGCAUACUUCUUGGAGGAACAGGCAAAGACCACCUUCUUUAGCUGUCAGGACAUCCAGCCCCAUCCGUUCUGAAGUACCACAGCUGCCAAAGAAACGUUGUUUCUAGAUGAUCCAGCAGACCGGAUGGUACCUGAGGUGUCACUGGCAGAUAAAGAUGCUGUUUGGAGCUUCUGGCAGGCCCCUGUAGAUGAAUCACAGAAGAGACCUUUGAGAUUUUUGGAGCAAAGCUCUACCAUCUGCAGACCACUAUUCUCCCUUUGAAAAACAGCUUUUGGCCUGCUAUUGUGCCUUAGUGGAAACUGAACUUUUGACAAUAGGACACCAAUUUACCAUGCAACCUGAACUGCCUACCAUGAACUGGGUGUCCUAAAGUAGGAUGUACAAAGCAGCAUUCUCUUAUCAAAUGGAAGUGGUAUAUAUGUGAUUGGGCCCAAGUAGGUCCUGAAGGCACAAGAAAGCUAUAUGAAGAAGUUGUUCAAAUACCUGGGAUUUUUUUUCUCC
rnacentral:sRNA from 1 species